AUUUGGCUUCUCACAUACGCUAUACUAUCUCUCUCUCUCAUUCUCUCAUAACCCUAAUUCAGUCUCUCUCUCUCUUCUCUUCUCUAGCGAACACGGCGACGAAAGAUAAACCAAUACUUUUGAUCAACAAUCAACGUAUUUGAAGACUCUAACUCUACGGAAAUCAAAUCCUAACCGGCUGCGAAACCCUAACCGGCGAUUCGUAUAGUCAUCAACCCUAAUUUGCGAUUCCUCUAAGCAUGGAGUGAUUGUGUCUAGCGGCGGCAGUGGUGGUCUAAUGUUGAUGGUGGAGGAGUCGCGGCGGCGGUGGUUUUGUGGUACUUGAAUCUUCCUCUCAAUCUUUCGCUACGCCUUCUAAGUUUCAACGGAAUCCAUCAUAUAUUCUAAUCAUCUGUCGUCAAUCAACAUUUAUAAUCGAAGGGUGUGCUAACAUAGAUAUAUGGUUAGAUCUGGUGAAAAUCUCUGGAGGAUUCUGGAUGUGGUUCUUGAUUUCCUUGAUUUUGGUUCUGGUAUAAGGUUGUUAAGUUUGAUUUAUGAGUUGUUAUCAAAGCCCUAAUUAAGGGUUUGCAUAAUAUCCUCUUUUUUCUAGAUUUUAUGUUUUCUUUCUCUGAAUCUAACGAUAGGUUAUCACAAUAUUUGUAUGUUAUUUGAAGCCAACAACUUAAAUUUUUGUCAUUGAUGCUUCGAUUGUGGUUAUUAACCAUUGGACUGGACCAAGUGCGUUUCUCAUCGAUUUGAUCUUAUUUUAGUUCUAUUUUAUUGAUUUAUUGUGAUUUUAACUUUGGGUGUGAUGUUUUCACUUGAUUUGAUUUCAACAGGGAUUGUUCUCUCCAUUGAUCACUGCUUUAUUCUUACCAUAAAUUUAAACGACCUUUGAUCAACUUUAGAUAUAUUGACGAUGGUAGCAGCGAACUUUAUUUAGUUAUUGUUGUAAUUAACUUUAGAUAUAUUGACGAUGGAACAGGUGGUUUGUGGAAAAGUUCACGAGGGUGAUAAACAAACUGUACGGGUUAAAGAAGGUAAUCCUAGUGGUUGCCAUGUGGUUAUCGUUUAUGAUCUGGUGCAAUCUGGAGGUACUUUAAUUGAAUGUCAGAAAGUUUUGGCAACUCAUGGUGCAACCAAGGUCAGUGCAUAUGUCACUCAUGUAGUGUUUCCGAAGAACUCUUGGAAGAAAUUUGUUCGCAAAAACGGUGGAAGCAGGGAUCGAUGUACGCCUCUGCGAUAUAGGUGCUGCAAUUCAAGAGGUCAUGGAAUCAUACGAGAUAGAAAUUAAUGGGAAGGUUUUCCAAGAUAGCAGUUAAGCAACUGAAAUCCAUGAAUUCAAAAGCUGAGAUGGAAUUUGUUGUUGAAGUGGAAAUUCUUGGAAGGGUUCGACACAAGAAUUUGUUAGGACUCAGGGGUUAUUGUGCUUUGGCUGAACGACGACUUAUAGUCUAUGAUUACAUGCCUAAUCUUAGUUUGUUAUCUCAUCUCCAUGGCCAAUUUGCUGCUGAAGUUCAACUUGAUUGGAAAAAGAGGAUGAAAAUUGCCAUUGGAUCGGCAGAAGGACUACUGUUAAUGUUGUUGUUGAUGACUGAUAAUGGAGGAUCUUGGUGGCUCGGUUACAUCCAACAGAAGAGUUAGCAAACAUGUAAUAACGAAAAAAGUCAGAACCGUAUUUUACCAUCAUAAAUAAUCAAGAAACACUUAUAUGGAUAACGCGAUCAACUAGAGCUUGGGAUAUAUCUUCUAUGGGCUAAAAGAAAGCUUAAGAGAUGGUCGAUUUUGUGGAUGAAAUGCCUUGCAUUUUAAAAGACAAUAAAUAUGAGGCAAAGUACAGGACUGACUUAAAAGAGGGAACUCAAUUUACUAAGGGAACGUUUUUGGUAACUCGAAGGAUAUGCAUCUUCAAAGGGACUCGACUAUCUUUAAAUUGUGUAUCCACUGUAUCACUAAUUUAUGUAACAUGAGACUUUGUAUUUUAUUUUAUUUUAUUUAUACACUUGAUAUUUAUCUUAA